GACGAACGCUGGCGGCGUGCUUAACACAUGCAAGUCGAACGGAAAGGCCCUGCUUUUGUGGGGUGCUCGAGUGGCGAACGGGUGAGUAACACGUGAGUAACCUGCCCUUGACUUUGGGAUAACUUCAGGAAACUGGGGCUAAUACCGGAUAGGAGCUCCUGCUGCAUGGUGGGGGUUGGAAAGUUUCGGCGGUUGGGGAUGGACUCGCGGCUUAUCAGCUUGUUGGUGGGGUAGUGGCUUACCAAGGCUUUGACGGGUAGCCGGCCUGAGAGGGUGACCGGCCACAUUGGGACUGAGGUGCGGACCAGGCACCUAAGGGAGACAGCAGUGGGGAAUAUUGCACAAUGGGCGGAAGCCUGAUGAAGCAACGCCGCGUGGGGGAUGACGGAUUUCGGGAUGAAGACCGCUUUCGCCUGGGACGAAGCGUGAGUGACGGUAAUGGGUAAAGAAGCAACGGCUAACUGCG
rnacentral:rRNA from 1 species